AAAACAGAUCCUGGAAACAACAGUUUUACUCAAUGGUAUCCAUCUUGAUUCCCUACUCCCAUUUUAAGAUACGUGAGGCACUUUAAGCAGAGAAGGGUGUCAGCAAUAUUUGCCAAUUUUUAGUGGGGGAAUGUGUGAUCUGCUCCUUCAAAAGACAUCUGUGUGUUGGGUUUCAGGGCAAGGUGCUAUUUUCAGAGUCCAGGUAGAAUCUAACACAGUAAAACAAUGCCAAGGGAAAAGGAAGGAAAACAAAAAACUAAAGGAACACCCCUGCCCAUCGUUCCAAUUCUUCGGAAGUUCCUGAAAACGUAUGAAAAGCACUGUGCCCAGACGCAGACAGCUGUGUGUCCAGCCAUCAGACAGGACUUGAAAACCAGCAUCAACAACGAACAGAUUCUUAGGAAAUUUAUGCUUGUAAGACCUGAAGACUCCCCAAUAAGCGUCCUACCCAUUUCCUUAGAACCUUUGCUCAUGACAAUUCGAGAUGAGUGUUAUAUGCUGGGGAAAGAGAUCUGUAUCUGGAGCCUUCAACUGAGCAACCCAGAGAUUGCCAGACUGGCUUCACUUCUGGAGUUGAAGGGGAGUGCCGCCUGCCCCUUUACCAGCCUGGAGCUCACUGACUGCAGGAUGGAUCUGUGGUCUCUCCGGAGACUCGGGAGGGCUCUGCCACGCAGCCAUCUGCGUUCUCUCAUCCUCGAUUACAGCAGACUUGGAAAGGAAGAAGUUGAGAGUCUUUUCUCAGGCCUGGAGAACAACCAGAGGCUUCAAGCCCUCAGUCUGCGCUACUGUGGUCUGGGGCCACAGAGCGGACCCUGGCUGGGUGCCAUCAUAUGCCAGACCGCCAUCAGUGAGCUGCACCUCGACGGCAAUUUCUUACAAUGUUCCGGAGCUCUGGCUCUCCUCAGACCCAUCGCGGACUAUGCAGAGAUGCAGGGGAGAGAGCAGCUGGCCAUGGCCCCACCAGACCCUCAUCAGCUGAAGGGUGAGUGCUGGGGACCUGGACCUUCCACUCUUUGGGCCUACCUAAAAGAAGGAAACUGCUUUGCAAUUAAAAGUGACCUUCCUAGAGGCACCUGGGUGGCUCAGUGGGUCAAAGCCUCUGCCUUCGGCUCAGGUCAUGAUCCCAGCGUCCUGGGAUCGAGCCCUGCAUUGGGCUCUCUGCUUAGCAGGGAGUCUGCUUCCUUUCCUUUCUCUCUGCCUGCCUCUCUACUUGUAAUCUCUG
rnacentral:lncRNA from 1 species